rnacentral:rRNA from 1 species
AACGAACGUUAGCGGUGUGGAUUAGGCAUGCAAGUCGAGCGUGAAAGUCUUCGGACGAGUAAAGCGGCGAAAGGGUGAGUAAUACGUAGUCAAUCUAUCCUCGAGACCGGGAUAACCACUGGAAACGGUGGCUAAUACUGGAUGGUCUCGGCUGGGGGCAUCCCCGGCCGAGUAAACGGUGGCGCAAGCUCCUGCUGGAGGAGGAGACUACGGGCUAUCAGCUAGUUGGUGAGGUUACGGCUCACCAAGGCGAUGACGGCUAGCCGGUCUGAGAGGACGAUCGGCCACACUGGGACUGAGACACUGCCCAGACUCCUACGGGAGGCAG